rnacentral:lncRNA from 1 species
AUGUGGCUGCUGAGGCCCAGCCAUUGCCAUCACAGACACAAGUGGAUUCAGCUGCCGCCGGCCGCGGAGGGCCUUCCACCCCCGAGGCCACCCUUCCUCCCCCACCUCCCCUGCAUGAUCCAGCUGCACUUUCAGAGCAGCUCCACAGCCAGCACCGCGGGUCUUCCAGGCCGGCGCUCUUCUCCCAUGGAGGCCAAUCCCGGGCGGGAGCUGCGGCUGCACUGCCAAGGCAGCGCUGGCYGCUUCUCCAGAGCAAAGCUGCGAUGGGUCACACGGCCUUGGCAGCAGCCUGGACGCCCCUGCGGAGCAAGCAGAGGAGGCAAAGCACACCAGGUGGUGUCGCAGCAGCUCUUUGGGCAUUUGGGAGGGGAAAAAGUGUGCGAGCAGAGCCAAGGUCAGGCUAGAAAAGGGAAACUGCACUUACCGAGGAACCUCUUCGCGCACCAAGCCUCUCCGGCGCAGGUGGGGGGCGCUGGCUCGCCGCAGCGGGGCGGCAGCAGGCGGCCGCCAUGCCAGGGCGGAGCGCCGCGGCGAGGAGGGCAACAAAAUGGCCGCCGCCCGCCGCAGGGGGGAGCUGUCGCGCCCGGCCCCGGCCCCGCCCGCCGGCUCCUCGCGGGGUUGAGGCAGCGCCACACGAGCUGCUCGCGGGGCUGCUGCAGCCGCAACGGCCGGUGCUGUUUUUUACGGCCGUUCCUAAACUUCAGCGCUGUGCGCAACGUGGCCGCAUGUGCUUCCGCCGUGGCCUCGCAGAGCUGCCCCGUUUCCCAGGCUCGCGCCCUGCCCGGCUGUCACCACGCGGGACGCAGCCUGCAGCGGCGCACGCAGCCCUUGCUCGAGUGCAGCGCAGACGCUCGCGCCCAUGCUGGUGUUUCCCACCCAAAUCUCGCACCUCACGUGGCAGCAGGGUCCAGUAAUCACCUGGCAGCCACUCUAGCUGGCCUCGCUUCGGCCCGUCUUCCAGAGCAGUGCUCCUGGGUGACCCAAGCCCUUUUCUGGCAGCUUUCAGUAAAGGUCCCUCCGUUUCUGUGUCUUUUCCAAGCAAAGCUCCACCUUCUGGUCCAUACCCCACUUUCCUCCCACCACAAUGAUCCCAGCCCCUGUGAAAAGCCUCAGCAGGAGACCUCCUGUUGCUGA